AUGAAGCUCUCGCUGGAGCCGAACAGCCGCCAUGGCUGGAAGGCGAUGCCGAGCAACGCAGUGACCAGCGCCACCUUGGCGAACGUGAACUUCAGCGGGCUCAAGCUGACGAGCGCGUUUGCUGGCGCCACCACGAGGAGGAACACAGCGCGGCCACCGAUCCAGGAUUCGAUGCCGAACCACCCGCAACCGAUGAGCACGCUAAUGACCGCCGGCAAGUGCGUGCUGCGCACCCCGAACGCCGUACGCGCGAGCACCGGGAACGGCAGCCCGUGCACGCCUCCUCCUCCACCGCCACCAUCGCGCCGACCUCCUCGCAACCUCCCUCGCGUCAACCUCCAGCGGCCAUGGAUAGAUGGACGAUGGAACAAAGGAGGAAGGGGAUGAGGACGGGAUG
rnacentral:lncRNA from 1 species